UAGGGAAUNCUUCGGCAAUGGGGGCAACCCUGACCGAGCAACGCCGCGUGAGUGAAGAAGGUUUUCGGAUCGUAAAGCUCUGUUGUAAGUCAAGAACGGGUGUGAGAGUGGAAAGUUCACACUGUGACGGUAGCUUACCAGAAAGGGACGGCUAACUACGUGCCAGCAGCCGCGGUAAUACGUAGGUCCCGAGCGUUGUCCGGAUUUAUUGGGCG
rnacentral:rRNA from 1 species